UACGUAGGUGACAAGCGUUGUCCGGAUUUACUGGGCGUAAAGAGCGCGCAGGCGGUCGAUCAAGUCGAGUGUGAAAGCCCCCGGCUCAACUGGGGAAGGUCAUUCGAUACUGAUCGACUCGAAGGCAGGAGAGGGUAGUGGAAUUCCCGGUGUAGUGGUGAAAUGCGUAGAUAUCGGGAGGAACACCAGUGGCGAAGGCGGCGAUCUGGGAAGAUACUGACGCUGAGGUGCGAAAGCGUGGGGAGCAAACGGG
rnacentral:rRNA from 1 species